CAGUAGCCACGGGAAUACAGAGGGUGCGAGCGUUAAUCGGAUUUACUGGGCGUAAAGCGUGCGUAGGCGGCUUCUUAAGUCGGAUGUGAAAUCCCUGAGCUUAACUUAGGAAUUGCAUUCGAUACUGGGAAGCUAGAGUAUGGGAGAGGAUGGUAGAAUUCCAGGUGUAGCGGUGAAAUGCGUAGAGAUCUGGAGGAAUACCGAUGGCGAAGGCAGCCAUCUGGCCCAAUACUGACGCUGAGGUACGAAAGCAUGGGGAGCAAACAGGAUUAGAUACCCCCGUAGUCCCUGUCUCUUAUAC
rnacentral:rRNA from 1 species